UCUGCUUUGGCUGCUUCCUUCAUGCCUAACUCUUGGGGCUUCAGGGGAGUUACACCAGCAGAAAUUUUGGCCUAUAGACUUUUCUUUGUGAUAGUGUAAUUGGUUACUGUGGCACUGAUUGAUGCCGUGGAGCAUGACAACUUCAAGUGCGGAAUAAGCAGUGACAGCAGAUGAACGGAGGUUCUGAUUUCAUGUACAUGCCUCCAAUAACUAAAAGACCAAUGAAAGAGAAAUGUCAGCUACACUAAAUUAUAAGUAGAAAUGUCUCUUCUUAAUAGGUUGCCUUUCAUGAUUUUUCUAUGAGGUGCCAGUGAGUCUUUGAGGCUGUUUUCCCCUUUCUCUCCCAAGAAGCAGCAGAGAAGCUGACCUGAAGUUUUGCCCACUCUCCUGGGUGCCCAAAUAGAACCAUAUUCAAGCACUUUCUGCUGCAUGGGGGCGGGGGGGUCAGGCGUUGGAGAACCCCUUGAAGGUGACUCCACACUCCCUCCUCAUACAGCACAUACUGGUCCCCUUGUCUUGUCAUGAGAAUAGUUGGCACAGAGAAUUCCAUUUUGCAUCAUGUUUCUCCCCCACCCCAAGACACAUCAGUCCAUUUAUGUGAGCUUUAUUCCAUUAUUAUUUGUAUUACAGUAGCACCUAAAGGCCCAUGCAAGAUCAUAGCCCCCCUGUGCUAGGCUCGUUAUCUGUGUGUAGCAAGGCACAUCCCUGCCCUGAAUAGCUUACUGUCUAAAAUAGACAAGACAGACGUAUAGUGGGAGAGGAAACAGGCACAGAGAGGGAAAAUCACUGUACUGCCUUUGGCCCACAUGGUGUAUUCUGGAGUACUCUUUUCUACUUACUGUAAAAUGUGAACAUUUUGCAUAUGGUAUAUUUCGCGCUUUAAAUUGCAACUAAUUUUUGUGCAGAUGGUCCCGUGUAAUUACCUGUAACUUAAUAACUAGUGUAAAUUAAAUUUCAGUUGUUUUUGAAUUUAUUUUAAAUAAUGAAAUUUAAUUGAGCAAUUAUUUCAAGUUCUGUAGUAUGUCCUACAGAGAAGUGAUUAUGUUGGACAAAGCACAAGAGAAUAUGCUGUGGGGAACAAUGCCACACAGGCAGGAGAGAAUGGACUAGAAAAUGCUUAAUAGGUCCUUGAUAUCUCUAAUCUAUAUAAUUCUAUUUAACUUUAAAAAGGCACUGUAAAGUUUGGUGGGUCUGAGAGUUUCAUAUACUUUUCUCCACUUACAUCUCUUUGAAAAGUAUCUGAGAUUCUCAGUGUCUUAGUCUUAGAAUCUCUCUCUCUUUCUCUCCUGUCUGUCUGUCUGUUUAUAAAAUAUAUAUAUAUAAAAUGUUUUGGUGGUAAAAGACAGUACGGUUAGGACUUGAAAAAUGUACCUAAUCGCAACACAUCCUAGCCCAUGUGAAAAAUAUGCAUGUUGCCACACCCUCCUGAAAUUAAAAAGAAUAAAACAGUUGUGCACUA